rnacentral:lncRNA from 1 species
ACAAAAUAUAAAAGAUCAAACUAAUUAAAGGAGAAACUCGAAAGUAAAAGCUAUGAAUAUGACUAUGGAGUCUUUAGGCGUCCCCUUCGUCGUCCUCCUGCGGAACGGGCUCGGGAACAAUGUCUUCCUGAUCUGAAAUGAUUAAAUAAGGAAUGAGCUACACUAGCCCAGUAAAGACAUCACGAUAUCUCACCGUCACGGAGGUAAAGGUAGGUAGAAAACACAAAAAGACCAAUGGAGCAUAAUUUACAACAAAUCCUUUUAUCAAUAAUAAAUCCUUUACCAUCCACUUACCUCGGUGAAAUUCAUAAAACAAUAUACGAAAGCAAUAACAUUAUCAUCAUCAUGAAAUCAUAUAAACUGUAUAACAUAAUACUUAUCACGCCUUUUGUAAUUCAAUCAUUACACAAUAUAUUUUCCUCAUUUACCAGCCCACUAGUAUCUAUGGGGAUCCAUAGGGGUCCCGCUACCCGUUAACCCUUAACACUUGAAAUCAUAUUCCAGGGCCGUCCUCAUACCCCGUCCGAUAUGGGCGCCAAAACUAUAAACCUCAUUACCCCGUCCGGUAUGAGGGUGAAACGGGCCGUCCCCAUACCCCGUCCGGUAUGGGUGCCAAAAUACAUAAGGUCUCCAUACCCCGUCCGGUAUGAGAGACCACAAUCCCGGUAGGGUUCCCUACGGACCCGGUCCGUCCACCAUCUCCCAAGAUAUCUAGUCAGGCUGACCACAUUAUACAAUUAUCAAUUUACAUAAUCUUUCAUUCUCAUUUUCCUCAGUCAGCAUCAU